rnacentral:rRNA from 1 species
ACUCCUACGGGAGGCAGCAGUAGGGAAUCUUCCACAAUGGGCGCAAGCCUGAUGGAGCAACACCGCGUGAGUGAAGAAGGGUUUCGGCUCGUAAAGCUCUGUUGUUAAAGAAGAACACGUAUGAGAGUAACUGUUCAUACGUUGACGGUAUUUAACCAGAAAGUCACGGCUAACUACGUGCCAGCAGCCGCGGUAAUACGUAGGUGGCAAGCGUUAUCCGGAUUUAUUGGGCGUAAAGAGAGUGCAGGCGGUUUUCUAAGUCUGAUGUGAAAGCCUUCGGCUUAACCGGAGAAGUGCAUCGGAAACUGGAUAACUUGAGUGCAGAAGAGGGUAGUGGAGCUCCAUGUGUAGCGGUGGAAUGCGUAGAUAUAUGGAAGAACACCAGUGGCGAAGGCGGCUACCUGGUCUGCAACUGACGCUGAGACUCGAAAGCAUGGGUAGCGAACAGGAUUAGAUACCCUGGUAGGAUAGCG